rnacentral:lncRNA from 1 species
ACCAACUUUCCCUUGUUGAACUUGCCUGAGAUCUGGCCAGGUCAGUGGUGACUGUACAAUGCCUGCAGGUGUGUACUGAAACCCCCAGGAGUCCACAAGGUGGAAGGAUGCUGGAUACAGCAACCACUGUACACUGCCUGCAGGUGUGUACUGAAACCCCCAGGAGUCCACAAGGUGGAAGGAUGCUGGAUACAGCAACCACUGUACACUGCCUGCAGGUGUGUACUGAAACCCCCAGGAGUCCACAAGGUGGAAGGAUGCUGGAUACAGCAACCACUGUACACUGCCUGCAGGUGUGUACUGAAACCCCCAGGAGUCCACAAGGUGGAAGGAUGCUGGAUACAGCAACCACUGUACACUGCCUGCAGGUGUGUACUGAAACCCCCAGGAGUCCACAAGGUGGAAGGAUGCUGGAUACAGUAACCACUGUACACUGCCUGCAGGUGUGUACUGAAACCCCCAGGAGUCCACAAGGUGGAAGGAUGCUGGAUACAGUAACCACUGUACACUGCCUGCAGGUGUGCACUGAAAGUCCCGGGAGUCCUCAUGGUGGAAGGAUACUGGACCAGUCUGACCCCUAUCCUGCAGCAACCUCUCUCAGGCUUUCCUGUCUGUUACAUUAUAUCCUCCAGGCAGGAACUGGUUGGGAGGGUGAAUGGCUGGUUACUCCUGUGAAGGUGUGCCUCAGUGUCUGGUGAAGAGAGCUGUAGGGUCUUCAUAAAUGGCAGCCAUAGUACUGGCUGGAAUGCUACACUGCCAGCUUCUGUCUUGAGCAAAUAUCUGCCACAGAACCUCCGAUCACUCAGCUUCCAGUAUUGCUGUGAGUUCCCAGUUUGUCACUGUCCAUGAUGGUUCCUUGGGUUUCUGCCUCCAGCGAAAGGGCCAUCCUUCACCCAUAAUCAAACUUGUGGCCUCAGGUUUAGCUCUUCAGGGGCUUUCCUGUCAACCAGAAAGAAAACAAUGCAACGUGUAAUGAAAUCAUUAUCAAUAGCCAUGUGGGAGAACCAAGUUGAGACCAAGUCAAGAGGGUCCAUCAGCCAGAAAGCACAGAAGAGAACUGGAGCCUCGUGUAUGCAUUUCCAUGCUCAGGAAUGGGCCUCUCAUAUGCAUGGCCACAUUGCCAGUGGUAGAUCCCAGUAUCCUCAAAUUAUGUACCAAGAUGUAUCCAAAUAGAACCCAUUCAGGAGGACAGAAGUGCUCAGUGAUUCAAAUACUCCUGCAGAAGACCUGGGUUUGGUUCCCAGUACUGACAUGGUGGUUCACAAACACCCAUAACUCUUGUUCCGGGGGAUAUGAUGCCUCUUUUGGCUUCAAUGGGCACUACUCACACAUGGUGGACAGUCAUGAAUGAAGGUAAAAUACCCAUACACAUAAAAUAAAAUAAGUCAACCUUAAAAAUAAAUUUAAAUCACAUUU